GAUGAAGAACGGAGCGAAAUGUGAUAAGUAAUGUGAAUUGCAGAAUUCAGUGAAUCAUCGAAUCUUUGAACGCACAUUGCGCCCGCCAGUAUUCUGGCGGGCAUGCCUGUCUGAGCGUCAUUUCAACCCUCAUGCCCCUAGGGCGUGGUGUUGGGGAUCGGCCAAAGCCCGCGAGGGACGGCCGGCCCCUAAAUCUAGUGGCGGACCCGUCGUGGCCUCCUCUGCGAAGUAGUGAUAUUCCGCAUCGGAGAGCGAUGAGCCCCUGCCGUUAAACCCCCAACUUUCCAAGGUUGACCUCAGAUCAGGUAGGAAUACCCGCUGAACUUAAGCAUAUCAAUAAGCGGAGGA
rnacentral:misc_RNA from 1 species